rnacentral:sRNA from 1 species
UCUAUGCAAGUAUUUUACGAGUUUACCCUUACCACUGAACCUACAAUGGUGAUUGAGCUCCUGCAACAACAACGAUUUUGACAACGGUAAGAAGCAACGGCGGUGACUCAUGAAUCAUGUCUCGUGAUGAAAAAGACGGCAAGAUCUCGACCUCCAAUUAGCGUUGGCGACGAUGGUGAGUUUCAACGACGAUGGUGAGUUGAGCGAUAGUGAGAAGCGAAGGUGAUAGUUUGGAUCUCUAGAAUUACUUUUCCAAAUCCUCUGUUAUUAGUUGGUGACGAUGAUGAUGAACUCUAUUGACAAUAAAAAUCAAAUUUGGUUUAGAAUUAAUAAUGAAUUGGAGUGUUUAAGAUUAGAACCCAAGGGUUCCCUAGAUAGUAUCCCUUUAGGGUUUAGAUUUCUUCAAUCAAAAAUCAUUUAUUUUGAUUGAUUGGGUUAAUCAGAAUAGACAUGUUGGCUGGAAAAUUUUGUUGAAGACGAUGGUGUUGUUAAUAACACUAUGAAUCGUCAAAAUCGAUGUCUGGACAAUGGUGUUGAAGACGAUGGUGUUGAAGACGAAGGGCAAAAGCGUCAUAUUUGUUGCAAACAUAUGCCCAAACCUAUAAGCCCAUUCUAAAUGUUCCUUUUUUCUAAUUAUUGGGCCAAAAUGUUCCUAUUUUUACAAAAGCCCCCACAAUUCAAUCCAAGAAAACUCCCACAUACCUUCCCAUCAAAGUAGUAGACGCCGGAGCUGCACAAAGAGGAAAGUCAAUUUUUUCAUAUCCAAACAAAG